GACGAACGCUGGCGGCGUGCUUAACACAUGCAAGUCGAGCGAUGAAGCUCCUUCGGGAGUGGAUUAGCGGCGGACGGGUGAGUAACACGUGGGUAACCUGCCUCAUAGAGGGGAAUAGCCUUUCGAAAGGAAGAUUAAUACCGCAUAAGAUUGUAGUACCGCAUGGUACAGCAAUUAAAGGAGUAAUCCGCUAUGAGAGGGGCCCGCGCCGGAUUAGGUAGUUGGUGGGGUAACGGCCUACCAAGCCGACGAUCCGUAGCUGGUCUGAGAGGAUGAUCAGCCACACUGGGACUGAGACACGGCCCAGACUCCUACGGGAGGCAGCAGUGGGGAAUAUUGGACAAUGGGCGCAAGCCUGAUCCAGCAAUGCCGCGUGAGUGAUGAAGGCCUUAGGGUUGUAAAGCUCUUUCGCACGCGACGAUGAUGACGGUAGCGUGAGAAGAAGCCCCGGCUAACUCGUGCCAGCAGCC
rnacentral:rRNA from 1 species